rnacentral:rRNA from 1 species
UAAGAAUCUUCCACAAUGGGCGAAAGCCUGACGGAGCGACGCCGCGUGGACGAUGAAGGCCGUGAGGUUGUAAAGUCCUUUUCGGCGGGGGGUCAGGGGUCCGCAGGGAAUGGGGGGCCGGUUGCGGUGAACCCGGGAUUAGGCCCCGCGAACCACGGCGCCAGCGGCGCGGUAACACGUAGGGGGCGAGCGUUGUUCGGAAUCAUUGGGCGUAAAGGGCGCGCAGGCGGCGAGGCAAGUCCGGUGUGAAAGUGCUCGGCUCAACCGAGUGAUACGCUGGAAACUGCCCUGCUUGAGUACAGGAGGGGACGUCGGAAUUCCAGGUGUAGGGGUGAAAUCUGUAGAUAUCUGGAAGAACACCGGUGGCGAAGGCGGACGUAUGGCCAUGUACUGACGCUGAGGCGCGAAGGUGCGGGGAGCGAACA